rnacentral:misc_RNA from 1 species
CGCACCUUGCACCCCAUGGUAAUCCGUGGGGUACACCUGUUUGAGUGUCACGUUAAUCAUCGCACCGAGGAUGUAACAGUCUUCGGGACGGAUCUGGAUGCUGCGGUGCUUCGUUGCACGGCUCGUCCGAAAUGCAUUAGCCGUCUGAGGACUCCGAGCUAAUGGUGUAAUACUUGAUGUUGCGCCGCCUGCUGGAUGCCCGGUUGAAGGCUCACAAAGACCAGACUGUAAUAAGACUUUGGCCUCAAAUCAGGUGGGACUACCCGCUGAACUUAA